GUCAUAUUAUGCAGAUGGGUGCUCAUGGUGGCCUCCAAAUAAAUACAUGGACAGGCUGCUAAAGAGGGUCAGGAUGAUGGAGAUGCAAGAGCCAAAGACAGCACGGACCAAACACCAGGCCAGAAUUCUGCAUGAGUCAGAUUGAGUAAUUUUCACUCUAGAGACCCUGGGGUGACCACCAAGGACGAAUGAAAACUCCAGUGAGUGUCUCUAAGGUAGAUCCUAAUGCAGAUGGAUGGAAUGUUGAUCCGCCUAACAUGCAAGAGCACUCGUUUUGAGUCCUGAGACCCUGGGGUGACCACCGUGAACAAAUACAGACUGCAAAAAGGCAGUCUUGACGGUUCUAGGAUGAAUGCAAAUAAAGACUAACCUCCUGACUUCAGCGGUCCAGUCUCUUGUGGGAAGCAGCUGUUUGUUACCCCAAAUACGGAUGAAGAGUGACGAAGAGGAUGAUGACUUUUUUCUCAAACAUCUGCUGAAAAUCUUGACAGGCUGGAGACAAAAUUAACAGACUGAGGGUUUAUACAAAGAAUCUUACUCAGCCAAUAUUAAAGAUAAGAUAUUUUUACAAAAUGAUUUUUUCAUUGUUUAGGAUGAGUUUAUGUAGAAAACAGUACAUCACAAAAAAGACUUUAGAUGUGUUUUCAUAGGCAGAGCCUUACACACACACUAACCACAAUUAUAAACGCAACACUAACACAGAUUUAGACAGAUUUGUGAAUAAUAUUUGAGAAAAAUAGGCCUUUUGGGGACAUAGAAAAUAUUUAAGUUCAGCUCAUGAAAUGAAAAAUGGGGGCAAAAACUAUUUUUAACAAGUGCAAUACAAAUAUCAACCAUAAUACUGAUCGUUUUAAAAAAAAGUAAGCCACUAUAUCUUUCUAGAAUCUUACACAAGACUCAGUUAUAUGAACGAUCAAAAUAAAUUAACGUCAGACAGGUGGGCGAAAUAUCAAUAUUAAAGCAUGAAUAACUGUUAUCAACCCAAUUUCAAGGUAUUAUUUAAAUGAUCCCACACCAAACAGUUUAUUAUUUAAAUGCAUUAUUACUACAUACCUUAAGCAAAUGUUCCACGCCUUUCUUCUUCUUGGCAUUGCGAGGUCAAGCGGAUGUUGUUAUGUAGAAUCACGACCUUGACGUAAAGACGCACAUCCGUAAUUUAUUUAACAAUGACAACACUUUCGGGUAAUUUUAUCCUCUAGAUCCUAAUUAAAGCUAUAAAGAAAGAACAGCCUUUCACGAUUAUUUCCUGGUA